rnacentral:rRNA from 1 species
GGUCAAGAGAGGUAAGGGCGCAUGGUGGAUGCCCAGGCACCUGGAGCCGAAGAAGGACGCGGCAAGCGGCGAAACGCCCCGGGGAGCCGCAAGCGGGCGUUGAUCCGGGGAUUUCCGAAUGGGGGAACCCGCUUGAGGUAAUACUCAAGCAUCCGCUGAUGAAUCCAUAGUCAGCGGAGGGGAACCGGGCGAACUGAAACAUCUAAGUAGCCCGAGGAAAAGAAAGCAAAAGCGAUUCCCUAAGUAGCGGCGAGCGAAAGGGGAGAAGCCCAAACCUACCGCUUAGGCGGUAGGGGUUCGGGCCCACCGAAAGGUGUGUGAGUACUCUAGGCGAACGGACCUGGAAAGGCCGGCCAAAGAGGGUGAAAGCCCCGUAGUCGAAAGGGGAAAGCGCACAGGUGGGUACCAGAGUACCACGGGAUAGCGACCCUGUGGGAAGGAGGGAGGACCACCUCCUAAGGCUAAAUACUCCAGGUGACCGAUAGCGCAUAGUACCGUGAGGGAAAGGUGAAAAGAACCCCGGGAGGGGAGUGAAAGAGAACCUGAAACCAUGUGCCCACAAGCAGUCAGAGCCUGGGUAAUACCAGGUGAUGGCGUACUUUUUGCAGAACGGGCCGGCGAGUUAUGGUAGCGAGCGAGGUUAAGGGUAGAGAUACCCGGAGCCGAAGCGAAAGCGAGUCCGAAGAGGGCGGGAAGUUCGCUGCCAUAGACCCGAAACCGUGCGACCUACCCAUGGCCAGGGUGAAGCCGGAGUAAGAUCUGGUGGAGGCCCGAACCCGUUGGCCGUGAAAAGCCAUGGGAUGAGCUGUGGGUAGAGGUGAAAUGCCAAUCGAGCACGGAGAUAGCUGGUUCUCCCCGAAAUAGCUUUAGGGCUAGCCUCAGGGUAAAGCCUGUGGAGGUAGAGCGACUGACUGGGCUAGGGGCCGAGAGGCUACCGAACCCUAUCAAACUCCGAAUGCCACAGGUGGGUCCCUGGGAGUCAGACCACGAGUGAUAAGAUCCGUGGUCGAGAGGGGAACAGCCCAGACCUCCAGCUAAGGUCCCGAAGGGCAUGUUAAGUGGGAAAGGAAGUGGGACUUCGAAGACAACCGGGAUGUUGGCUUAGAAGCAGCCAUACAUUUAAAGAGUGCGUAACAGCUCACCGGUCGAGAGGUCCUGCGCCGAAAAUGAACGGGGCUCAAACAUGCCACCGAAGCUGGGG